CAGAAUGUAGUUUAAUUUAGAGCAUCGGCUUUGGGUGCCGAAGGUGGGAGUGUGAAUCUUGUCAUUCUGA
rnacentral:tRNA from 1 species